rnacentral:rRNA from 1 species
CUUAGCGGCGGACGGGUGAGUAACACGUGGGCAACCUGCCCCAUAGACUGGGAUAACUCCGGGAAACCGGAGCUAAUACCGGAUAAUCCCUUUCUCCACCUGGAGAGAGGGUGAAAGAUGGCUUCGGCUAUCACUAAGGGAUGGGCCCGCGGCGCAUUAGCUAGUUGGUAAGGUAACGGCUUACCAAGGCGACGAUGCGUAGCCGACCUGAGAGGGUGAUCGGCCACACUGGGACUGAGACACGGCCCAGACUCCUACGGGAGGCAGCAGUAGGGAAUCUUCCGCAAUGGACGAAAGUCUGACGGAGCAACGCCGCGUGAGUGAGGAAGGCCUUCGGGUCGUAAAGCUCUGUUGUGAGGGAAGAAGCGGUGCCGUUCGAAUAGGGCGGUACCUUGACGGUACCUCACCAGAAAGCCACGGCUAACUACGUGCCAGCAGCCGCGGUAAUACGUAGGUGGCAAGCGUUGUCCGGAAUUAUUGGGCGUAAAGCGCGCGCAGGCGGCUUCUUAAGUCUGAUGUGAAAUCUCGGGGCUCAACCCCGAGCGGCCAUUGGAAACUGGGGAGCUUGAGUGCAGAAGAGGAGAGUGGAAUUCCACGUGUAGCGGUGAAAUGCGUAGAGAUGUGGAGGAACACCAGUGGCGAAGGCGACUCUCUGGUCUGUAACUGACGCUGA